rnacentral:misc_RNA from 1 species
GAUGAUUCUUGAAAAGUUUGAUUUUUUUGGGAUUUUUUUUCAAUUUUUUGGAGUGUCACAUACUGGUUUAAGGCUUCUGAGAUUUGGAUUUAUUGAAGUUGUCACCAGCAGAAUUUCGAGCUUUGUACAAUGGGUAGAGGAAGAGGAAAGGGAAAGAAGCAAUCUGUCCGUGAGGAUCUCGGAAGUGGUGAAGAAGAGAAGAUACCAAUCAGGAGAAGGGGAAGACCACUGAAG